GCCUAGCCCUAAACCUAAAUAGUUAUAUAACAAAACUAUUCGCCAGAGUACUACUCGCAACAGCCUAAAACUCAAAGGACUUGGCGGUGCUUCACAUCCACCUAGAGGAGCCUGUUCUAUAAUCGAUAAACCCCGAUAAACCUUACCAACUCUUGCCAAUUCAGCCUAUAUACCGCCAUCUUCAGCAAACCCUAAAAAGGAAUAAUAGUAAGCACAAUCAUUUCACAUAAAAACGUUAGGUCAAGGUGUAGCUUAUGAGUUGGAAAGAAAUGGGCUACAUUUUCUGAACAAGAAUAUUAAUCAACGAAAGUUUUUAUGAAAUUAAAAACUAAAGGAGGAUUUAGCAGUAAAUCAAGAAUAGAGUGCUUGAUUGAAUAAGGCCAUGAAG
rnacentral:rRNA from 1 species